AUUAACGCUGGCGGCGUGCCUAAUACCUGCAAGUCGAGCGAACAGACGAGGAGCUUGCUCCUCUGACGUUAGCGGCGGACGGGUGAGUAACACGUGGAUAACCUACCUAUAAGACUGGGAUAACUUCGGGAAACCGGAGCUAAUACCGGAUAAUAUAUUUAACCGCAUGGUUCAAUAGUGAAAGACGGUUUUGCUGUCACUUAUAGAUGGAUCCGCGCCGCAUUAGCUAGUUGGUAAGGUAACGGCUUACCAAGGCAACGAUGCGUAGCCGACCUGAGAGGGUGAUCGGCCACACUGGAACUGAGACACGGUCCAGACUCCUACGGGAGGCAGCAGUAGGGAAUCUUCCGCAAUGGGCGAAAGCUUGACGGAGCAACGCCGCGUGAGUGAUGAAGGUCUUCGGAUCGUAAAACUCUGUUAUUAGGGAAGAACAAAUGUGUAAGUAACUAUGCACGUCUUGACGGUACCUAAUCAGAAAGCCACGGCUAACUACGUG
rnacentral:rRNA from 1 species